rnacentral:rRNA from 1 species
CCCUUAGAUGUUCUAGGCCGCACGCGCGCUACACUGAUGCAUUCAACGAGUCUAAAACCUGCUCUGAUAGGGGUGGGUAAUCUUUUGAAUGUGCAUCGUGAUUGGGAUAGAUGAUUGCAAUUUUUCAUCUUCAACGAGGAAUGCCUAGUAAACGCAAGUCAUCAGCUUGCAUUGAUUACGUCCCUGCCCUUUGUACACACCGCCCGUCGCUCCUACCGAUUGAAUGAUCCGAUGAAUAUCAUGGAUUGAGGAUUAUAGCAGGUUCGCCUGUCUUGAUCUUCGAGAAGUGAAGUAAAUCUUAUCAUUUAGAGGAAGGAGAAGUCGUAACA